GCUGCUUGAGGCUACUGUUGUGGCACGACUCAAUAGACAAUAGCAUACUAGUUUCGUCCGUUGUAAUCUUAGCAGCCAGCUUGGAGCAUGUGUCGGCUGCUGUAAGGCCAGCGGAACAGUAGAAGUAUCUAACGCUAGACUGUUGACUGCAGUUAAGUUAAGCAGUUAAUUUAGACGUGGACGCACAUUAACAAAUCUAAAACAAUGAAACAUUAAAUGCUAUUGUCACCCACACAACAUUAGCUGAGGCAAGCGCUGUUGCCUCAUUGACGACUUCUUUAGUAAUCUGAUUGCU
rnacentral:snoRNA from 1 species